rnacentral:rRNA from 1 species
UUUCCGUAGGGUGACCUGCCGAAGGAUCAUUACCGAGUGAGGGCCCUCUGGGUCCAACCUCCCACCCGUGUUUAUUUUACCUUGUUGCUUCGGCGGGCCCGCCUUAACUGGCCGCCGGGGGGCUUACGCCCCCGGGCCCGCGCCCGCCGAAGACACCCUCGAACUCUGUCUGAAGAUUGAAGUCUGAGUGAAAAUAUAAAUUAUUUAAAACUUUCAACAACGGAUCUCUUGGUUCCGGCAUCGAUGAAGAACGCAGCGAAAUGCGAUACGUAAUGUGAAUUGCAAAUUCAGUGAAUCAUCGAGUCUUUGAACGCACAUUGCGCCCCCUGGUAUUCCGGGGGGCAUGCCUGUCCGAGCGUCAUUGCUGCCCUCAAGCCCGGCUUGUGUGUUGGGCCCCGUCCCCCGAUCUCCGGGGGACGGGCCCGAAAGGCAGCGGCGGCACCGCGUCCGGUCCUCGAGCGUAUGGGGCUUUGUCACCCGCUCUGUAGGCCCGGCCGGCGCUUGCCGAUCAACCCAAAUUUUUAUCCAGGUGACCUCGAUCAGUAUGAUUAC